ACAGAAGGAGGAGGGCGACCCCCACUCUCAAAACCCUAGCAACUCACUAAUCUCACAAAUUGAAGGCUCAAACUAAGUUAAAAUCGAAAAUCGAGCAUAGAUUAUUGAUCCCCAUUGCAAGGGGGUUGUAAGGAGGUGUACCUUAUAUGCUUGCGAAGGUAGGAACUUGGAAAUGAACGGGUCAAAUGGAUACAAGUUCAAGUAUGAAGCUCGCAAGGAUGCAAGGUAAGUAUAACUUACACUAGUCAUAUAUUUUAGAAUGUUCUUUUGUCGUAUUGACUACGAAUAAGACAAAUGGUAAUUUAGUCACACGUUGACAAUAAUCGUUAGUUUUAAAAGACGCUUCCCGCGUAAGACAUAAAGAGCCGAAAGUGGUAAUAAACAGUUUAUAAAUAAAAUGAGCAUACGGUGUUAAAAGGAGCGAGUCAUGUAGAUGAGAUGAUAAUAAAUAUUAUCUCGCAAAGAUAAACGGUCAAUUCAGCCAAACGGGUCAAAAGGUGUAGACAUCACCUUUUGACAAUAUCGACUAAUGAUUCUGGUGUCGAGUUAUAUGUUUACAGGAGUAGAUAUCCAAUGGAUACUCGCAUCGCUCUUAAUUAGCAAUUAUAAAGCAAGGUAUUAAACCAGGUUAGUAAGUUGAUCCGAGCCAGGUAUGUAUAAUAGAUUAACUCAUCAUGUAGAACUUGAAGUUCUAUGAAAGUUAGGCAAAAUAAAAAAAAGGGCAUUCGGUUACCUUAAUAGGUAAACCGAAGGAUUUAAAUUAUAGACAGAAUGUUUUGAAAACAAGAUUUGGUUAAAAAUGAGAAAUUAGAAUCAAACAACAGGUUUGUUUGAUAAAAUCACGAACGGGUCAAAUUUGGUAAAAAGGGGUAAUAAGCCGAAGACUUAAAAGUCUUAAAUUUUGUUAAUCCAGAUGUUGGGUCUUGACUCCAUUUGAUGGAGGUUCAAUUUACAAUCACGUAGGAAGAAACGGUAGGUCAAACGAACAAGCGGAUUAAAAGUUAUGAAGGUUUCCGUUUUGAAAUCGGCAAACUUGGAAAAUCUUGCAGAGGCCACCGUAAGUUACGGUAGCUACCGUAACUUACGGUAGCCUUAAAAAUCUUUACGCCUUAAACCCACUGAGUUACGGUGGAAGAAUCAACAUUCAGGGGCUACCGUAAAUUACGGUAGCCACCGUAAUUUACGGUAGACCCUGUAACAAAAUUUAUUUUAAUCAGUUUCGUUUCCCAGAACUCGUUAGACACGUUUAUAACCCCGUAAGACUAAAGCAUUUCUUGUUUAUGAAAUGUAGGUACAUUUUGGAUGCCGGAAGACGAUCAAGCUCAUUGGAGAACCGAACACGAUAAAGAUACAUGCUUCCGCACAGUGUCCCGUCAUAAAUUUUAAACGACGAAUUCAAUUACGUUAUGUCGAAUAACUUAUGAUUUGUAAAAGUUUUAAUAAACCCAUAUUUUUAUAGUAUUUGUAGUCUUAUCUACACAACUAAUUGUUGGUAAUUAUAUGUAAAACCGU
rnacentral:lncRNA from 1 species